AGCUUUGCACAGUGGCAGUAUCGUAGCCAAUGAGGUUUAUCCGAGGCGCGAUUAUUGCUAAUUAAAGUCAAGGUGUCAUAUUUUGGGGUAAUAUGUUCACCACCACAUUUGGG
rnacentral:snRNA from 1 species